UACGGAGGAUCCAAGCGUUAUCCGGAAUCAUUGGGUUUAAAGGGUCCGUAGGCGGUCUAAUAAGUCAGUGGUGAAAGCCCAUCGCUCAACGGUGGAACGGCCAUUGAUACUGUUAAACUUGAAUUAUUAGGAAGUAACUAGAAUAUGUAGUGUAGCGGUGAAAUGCUUAGAGAUUACAUGGAAUACCAAUUGCGAAGGCAGGUUACUACUAAUGGAUUGACGCUGAUGGACGAAAGCUAGGGGAGCAAACGGG
rnacentral:rRNA from 1 species